rnacentral:lncRNA from 1 species
CCAUUUUGGUCGCGUUCUAGAAGUGCCAGCUCAUCGUAGGCAGCGGAAUCUUUUCAGCCACGGAAUCUUCUCCGGCCCAAAUAAUCAGAGGCGCACGGCGCGCAUCACCAUUGAUAGCCAAGUGGACAUCGAAGCACGCCUCCUAAGAUUUGGAAAACAUUUUCCCUCGUCCUCUGGACCUAUCAUCACAAGAUAUGGAUACAGUGUUCUGCUGCCCGAGAUGUCGCGAGCAGUUCGGUUCCGCAUUCUACAUCGGACGCCCGGAUACUGUAUGGAAUCCAGAAUUCUGCUGCAUGGAUUGUGGCAGGCCACUCAAUGAUCCCGCACCCCACACAGGACGCCUGGAGAGUCCCAACCACCCCAAGAACGCCACCAAGCCGA